rnacentral:rRNA from 1 species
UUCUGAAAGGAAGAUCCUUUAAGAUGGCAUCAUGAGUCCGCAUGUUCACAUGAUUAAAGGUAUUCCGGUAGACGAUGGGGAUGCGUUCCAUUAGAUAGUAGGCGGGGUAACGGCCCACCUAGUCUUCGAUGGAUAGGGGUUCUGAGAGGAAGGUCCCCCACAUUGGAACUGAGACACGGUCCAAACUCCUACGGGAGGCAGCAGUGAGGAAUAUUGGUCAAUGGGCGAGAGCCUGAACCAGCCAAGUAGCGUGAAGGAUGACUGCCCUAUGGGUUGUAAACUUCUUUUAUAAAGGAAUAAAGUCGGGUAUGGAUACCCGUUUGCAUGUACUUUAUGAAUAAGGAUCGGCUAACUCCGUGCCAGCAGCCGCGGUAAUACGGAGGAUCCGAGCGUUAUCCGGAUUUAUUGGGUUUAAAGGGAGCGUAGAUGGAUGUUUAAGUCAGUUGUGAAAGUUUGCGGCUCAACCGUAAAAUUGCAGUUGAUACUGGAUAUCUUGAGUGCAGUUGAGGCAGGCGGAAUUCGUGGUGUAGCGGUGAAAUGCUUAGAUAUCACGAAGAACUCCGAUUG